UUUCCUAUGACGUCCAUUCCAA
rnacentral:miRNA from 2 species